AUGCCUAAUACAUGCAAGUCGAGCGAAUGGAUUAAGAGCUUGCUCUUAUGAAGUUAGCGGCGGACGGGUGAGUAACACGUGGGUAACCUGCCCAUAAGACUGGGAUAACUCCGGGAAACCGGGGCUAAUACCGGAUAACAUUUUGAACCGCAUGGUUCGAAAUUGAAAGUGCGGCUNUCGUGCUGUCACUUAUGGAUGGACCCGCGUCGCAUUAGUUAGUUGGCGGGGUAACGGCCCACCAAGACGAUGAUCGGUAUCCGGCCUGAGAGGGCGCACGGACACACUGGAACUGAAACACGGUCCAGACUCCUACGGGAGGCAGCAGUGGGGAAUUUUGCGCAAUGGGGGAAACCCUGACGCAGCAACGCCGCGUGGAGGAUGAAAUCCCUUGGGAUGUAAACUCCUUUCGAUCGGGACGAUUAUGACGGUACCGGAAGAAGAAGCCCCGGCAUAACUUCGUGCCAGCAGCCGCGGUAAUACGAGGGGGGCAAGCGUUGUNCGGAAUCAUCUGGGCGUAAAGGGGCGCGUAGGCGGUCUUGACAAAGUUCUGAUGUGAAAUUCUCUGGGCUCAACCCAGAGUCUGCAUUAGAAACUGUCCGG
rnacentral:rRNA from 1 species